UACGUAGGGCGCAAGCGUUGUCCGGAAUUAUUGGGCGUAAAGAGCUCGUAGGCGGUUUGUCGCGUCUGCUGUGAAAUCCCGAGGCUCAACCUCGGGCUUGCAGUGGGUACGGGCAGACUAGAGUGCGGUAGGGGAGACUGGAAUUCCUGGUGUAGCGGUGAAAUGCGCAGAUAUCAGGAGGAACACCGGUGGCGAAGGCGGGUCUCUGGGCAAUAACUGACGCUGGAGGAGCGAAA
rnacentral:rRNA from 1 species